rnacentral:rRNA from 1 species
UACGUAGGGCGCAAGCGUUGUCCGGAAUUAUUGGGCGUAAAGAGCUCGUAGGCGGUCUGUCACGUCUGCUGUGAAAACCCGGGGCUUAACCCCGGGCUUGCAGUGGAUACGGGCAGACUAGAGGCAGGUAGGGGAGAAUGGAAUUCCCGGUGUAGCGGUGAAAUGCGCAGAUAUCAGGAGGAACACCCGUGGCGAAAGCGGCUCUCUGGGACGGUACUGACGCUGAGACGCGAAAGCGUGGGGAGCAAACAGG